rnacentral:rRNA from 1 species
UACGUGGGGUGCAAGCGUUGUUCGGAAUUACUGGGCGUAAAGCGUGUGUAGGCGGCUCGCUAAGUCUGGUGUGAAAUCCCCAAGCUUAACUUGGGAACUGCAUCGGAAACUGGCGAGCUCGAGUCCGGGAGAGGGUAGCGGAAUUCCUGGUGUAGAGGUGAAAUUCGUAGAUAUCAGGAGGAACACCGGUGGCGAAGGCGGCUACCUGGACCGGUACUGACGCUGAGACACGAAAGCGUGGGGAGCAAACAGGAUUAGAUACCCUGGUAGUCCACGCCGUAAACGAUGAGCGCUAGGUGUCGCGGGUAUUGACCCCUGCGGUGCCGCAGGUAACCCAUUAAGCGCUCCGCCUGGGGAGUACGGUCGCAAGACUAAA